UGCUCUGUAUAAUACAUUGGUACUCAGAAGGUUGCUGGUUUGAUCCCCACAGUCACCACCAUUGUGUCCUUGAGUAAGACACUUAACUCCAGGUUGCUCCGGGGGGAUUGUCCCUGUAAUAAGUGCUCUGUAUAAUACAUUGGUACUCAGAAGGUUGCUGGUUUGAUCCCCACAGUCACCACCAUUGUGUCCUUGAGUAAGGCACUUAACUCCAGGUUGCUCCGGGGGGGAUUGUCCCUGUAAUAAGUGCUCUGUAUAAUACAUUGGUACUCAGAAGGUUGCUGGUUUGAUCCCCACGGCCACCACCAUUGUGUCCUUGAGUAAGGCACUUAACUC